GACAGAGGGUGCAAACGUUGUUCGGAAUUACUGGGCGUAAAGCGCGUGUAGGCGGCUCGGCAAGUCGGGUGUGAAAGCCCUGGGCUUAACCUAGGAAGUGCACUCGAAACUGCCAAGCUUGAGUUCUGGAGAGGAAGGCGGAAUUCUCGGUGGUAGAGGUGAAAUUCGUAGAUAUCGAGAGGAACACCGGUGGCGAAGGCGGCCUUCUGGACAGCAACUGACGCUGAGACGCGAAAGCGUGGGGAGCAA
rnacentral:rRNA from 1 species